GACACACGGCGGGUGCUAACGUUCGUCGUGAAGAGGGAAACAACCCAGACCGCCGGCUAAGGUCCCAAAGUCAUAAUUAAGUGGGAAACGAAGUGGGAAGGCUCAGACAGCCAGGAUGUUGGCUUAGAAGCAGCCAUCAUUUAAAGAAAGCGUAAUAGCUCACUGGUCGAGUCGGCCUGCGCGGAAGAUGUAACGGGGCUAAAUUAUGCACCGAAGCCGCGGCAGCGAUAUGUAAAUAUUGUUGGGUAGGGGAGCGUUCUGUAAGCCUGUGAAGGUGACCUGUGAGGGUUGCUGGAGGUAUCAGAAGUGCGAAUGCUGACAUAAGUAACGAUAAUGCGGGUGAAAAACCCGCACGCCGGAAGACCAAGGGUUCCUGUCCAACGUUAAUCGGGGCAGGGUGAGUCGACCCCUAAGGCGAGGCUGAAAAGCGUAGUCGAUGGGCAACGGGUUAAUAUUCCCGUACUGGUGGUAACUGCGAAGGGGGGACGGAGAAAGCUAAAUCAUCCGGGCGACGGUUGUCCCGGUUUAAGCGUGCAGGUGGACUGAC
rnacentral:rRNA from 1 species